AGAACGAACGCUGGCGGCAUGCCUAACACAUGCAAGUCGAACGAGACCUUCGGGUCUAGUGGCGCACGGGUGCGUAACGCGUGGGAAUCUGCCCUUAGGUACGGAAUAACAGUGAGAAAUUACUGCUAAUACCGUAUGAUGUCUUCGGACCAAAGAUUUAUCGCCUAGGGAUGAGCCCGCGUUGGAUUAGCUAGUUGGUGGGGUAAAGGCCUACCAAGGCGACGAUCCAUAGCUGGUCUGAGAGGAUGAUCAGCCACACUGGGACUGAGACACGGCCCAGACUCCUACGGGAGGCAGCAGUGGGAAUUUUCCGCAAUGGGCGAAAGCCUGACGGAGCAAGACCGCGUGGGGGAAGAAGGCUCUUGGGUUGUAAACCCCUUUUCUCUGGGAAGAACGCAAUGACGGUACCAGAGGAAUCAGCAUCGGCUAACUCCGUGCCAGCAGCCGC
rnacentral:rRNA from 1 species